rnacentral:rRNA from 1 species
UCCAGACUCCUACGGGAGGCAGCAGUGGGGAAUAUUGCACAAUGGGGGGAACCCUGAUGCAGCGACGCCGCGUGGGUGAAGGAGUAUUUCGGUAUGUAAAGCCCUAUCAGCAGGGAAGAACAAUGACGGUACCUGACUAAGAAGCACCGGCUAAAUACGUGCCAGCAGCCGCGGUAAUACGUAUGGUGCAAGCGUUAUCCGGAUUUACUGGGUGUAAAGGGAGCGUAGACGGCGGCGCAAGCCUGAAGUGAAAGCCCGUGGCUCAACCGCGGAACCGCUUUGGAAACUGCGAGGCUGGAGUGCUGGAGAGGUAAGCGGAAUUCCUGGUGUAGCGGUGAAAUGCGUAGAUAUCAGGAGGAACACCGGUGGCGAAGGCGGCUUACUGGACAGUGACUGACGUUGAGGCUCGAAAGCGUGGGGAGCGAACAGGAUUAGAUACCCCAGUAC